GAGAGAUUUCAUCUACGGGAAAAAGACCCUCUGAAAAGAAGUGUGAAAUCAUCAAAAGAGCCAUUGGAGGGGACACCAGAGAGUCGUGUGGCUGAGGUUUCACAUGAUCCCGCCAUGCUUCCAGUCCAGAGGAGAAAGCUAGACCCACUCCUCAAAAAGUAUAGGCAUCAUAAGAAGGCCACAAGGACAAAAAGAAGGAGGAAGGAGAAAAUGGAGGCCCAGUGCUCCCCUGUUCCUCCAACACCUUCAACACCACCACAAAGUGAAGAAGAUGAGGCUGUAGACAAAAAGCCAACUCUACUCAGUGCCCAGGAAGAUACUCCUGACCUUCUCCAUGAGGACAGAUUACAGUAUCUGCAGGAAGAGGGUUCCGGUGUGAUGCAUCAGGAAUGUCAGAUCCAGUCCUGUGAGCUCUCGGUGGCUCAGAAGCCCAGGCCCUCUUCUCCUGCAGUGACAUCCUUGGCAUCACCACCACUCUGCUUUGGCAGUUUCCUAAGCUGUGUCUGCCAGACCUUCUCAAGGUCUAGGAAGCAGAAGCCUCCCAGAAGAAAGGGUAACAACCAGGCUGAGGCAGGAGGUGAUGCUGAGGUCCUGAGACCUGGCCCGGCAAAACCAGAGUUGAGCCUCAGCAAAACGUGUAGCCACUUGAAAUCGAUAGAGCUUUCCUUUGUGUUUAGUUUUAUAGUUCUCUCUGUAUGUCAUUGUUCCUCUUAGUUGAGUUUUUGCCUGUCAAAGAGAUAGAGAGCUGCUUUUAUGCUGAGAUCCUCAAGCCAAAACCCACAGUAAACGCAAAGUAAAACUUUGAGGCUUUGAACUUUUA
rnacentral:lncRNA from 1 species